rnacentral:rRNA from 1 species
GUGUUCCACGCUGUCGGUUCGCCGCCCGUCGGUGUCAACUGGCAUGUCCUGUGGAACGUCCUGCCGGUGGCGGUCCGGGCUUUCGGCUUGCGUAAGGGCUCACGCCCGAAGCAGGCCGAACAGUACCGGCCGCCGGUCCAAUCCCGCCACGGUGCUCUUCACCGAGUGUCGAGGUGGGCCGGCACGUUUACUUUGAACAAAUUAGAGUGCUUAAAGCAGGCUGGUGUCCGCCUGAAUACUGUGUGCAUGGAAUAAUAGAAUAGGACCUCGGUUCUAUUUUGUUGGUUUUCGGAACCCGAGGUAAUGAUUAAUAGGGACAGGCGGGGGCAUUCGUAUUGCGACGUUAGAGGUGAAAUUCUUGGAUCGUCGCAAGACGAACCUAAGCGAAAGCAUUUGCCAAGUAUGUUCUCGUUAAUCAAGAACGAAAGUUAGAGGUUCGAAGGCGAUCAGAUACCGCCCUAGUUCUAACCAUAAACGAUGCCAGCCAGCGAUCCGCCGAAGUUCCUCCGAUGACUCGGCGGGCAGCUUCCGGGAAACCAAAGCUUUUGGGUUCCGGGGGAAGUAUGGUUGCAAAGCUGAAACUUAAAGGAAUUGACGGAAGGGCACCACCAGGAGUGGAGCCUGCGGCUUAAUUUGACUCAACACGGGAAACCUCACCAGGCCCGGACACCGGAAGGAUUGACAGAUUGAGAGCUCUUUCUUGAUUCGGUGGGUGGUGGUGCAUGGCCGUUCUUAGUUGGUGGAGCGAUUUGUCUGGUUAAUUCCGAUAACGAACGAGACUCUAGCCUGCUAACUAGGCGAUUCCGGUACCCACAAUAGUGUUACCGGCGAUUCAAUUUCUUCUUAGAGGGACAGGCGGCUCCUAGCCGCACGAGACUGAGCAAUAACAGGUCUGUGAUGCCCUUAGAUGUCCUGGGCCGCACGCGCGCUACACUGAAGGAAUCAGCGUGUCUUCCCUGGCCGACAGGCCCGGGUAACCCGUUGAACCUCCUUCGUGCUAGGGAUUGGGGCUUGCAAUUGUUCCCCAUGAACGAGGAAUUCCCAGUAAGCGCGAGUCAUAAGCUCGCGUUGAUUACGUCCCUGCCCUUUGUACACACCGCCCGUCGCUACUACCGAUUGAAUGAUUUAGUGAGGUCUUCGGACUGGUGCGCGGCGAUCGGUUUAUACUGCCGGCCGCCGAUGUUGCUGGAAAGAUGACCAAACUUGAUCAUUUAGAGGAAGUAAAAGU